GCCGGUUCAGUGAACGCCGCUGUUUCGUUUUCUUAGUUCGGUUCGAGUUCUGUAUGUUGAAUGCCGCUUUUAAGUUGUUGUGAGUGCUGCAAAAGUGAUAAAGGGUUGAGUUUGUGGUUGUCGUUGGUUCCGGGUGGAGAGGAAAGAGUUCGGUUGAUGCGUUUGGGUUAUGGUUUCGACGACUCGAGGUAUGGGCUUUUUAUACAAACUAAUUUAUUUUAAAUGGGAAUUGUUAUAAAUAGAUAUGCUGUGCGAAAUGUAUUUCUAGUGAUUGUGUGAGUCUUAUGAAUUGUCUGAUUUUGUCUUGAAUGAA